CUAUUAAUGUCAAUGGCAUUUUUAUUAUUAGCUGUGACACGGGUAGUGUUUCACCCGUAUGUUUCCCAGUCACUUAAAGAGUGAGGAGCCACAUUAGACCCACUGUCAUUAUUAAAACAAGAAUAAGAAAGCAUAGCUUUGAUGCCUUCCUGAAAGAUAAAAUGUUAGGUUUCUGCAGUCCCCUUUGGAGAAGCAAACCCAUCUUCAUUACUUCUGGAUCUUUAAUCUGAAGAAUGUCAGUCUGAGCUUGUCAGUUUAAAUACUGUCAUUUGCAUACAAGCUCAGCCCACCUCCAGUGUAGAGAGCAAAGUCUCUCCUUACCAUCCAAUUUCUGAACUCCAGAAGGAAUAAAGAGUUCCAGUCCAGUACUGAAUAAUUAACAGUGCACUGGCUAUUUCUGUGAUCAGCACCUAAUCUGAAAGACUGUGGUUAAGGAUGGAUGAAUUCUUCAAACACAGUACAGAUACAGUGGAGAGCCAGUGCUAGGAUUCUCUGCAGCAACAGUAACUAUGAUAAUUGUAAAAACAACCUAUAAUAGCAGAGUUCCUGUUGUUUUUCAAACAGGUACGUUGUGGUUUAUAGCAAAAACAAAGAACAAGUUUCUACCCAGCCUGCAUGCAGGGAGCAAAGGACAAGUCAACCCCCUUUCCCAGUACUGAUUCUAAUGAUGGGGCAGAAUUUUGUGACAGCUUUCUAGAGAAAGGUUGUGUACAUCUGAACAAACUCCAUUCACACGUGGCCAGUGAAAACCGUGAUAAAAUAUGACAAAACUUCCAAAUACUUGGCUUCGUCUUGGUGCUGCAAGCCUGCUUAAGAUUUCACCAGACCCCCCUGGCUCCAGCACCAUGGCACAGAAAAUGGGAUGCACAACACCUGCAGCUCUUCACAUUUUGGAUGUUGCUGCUUAAAAUCUACCCCCUUCAUAGAAGCUGUUAACAAGGCUUUCAAAGGUUAGUAU